UGGGGAAUCUUGCACAAUGGGGGAAACCCUGAUGCAGCGACGCCGCGUGAGCGAUGAAGGUUUUCGAAUCGUAAAGCUCUGUCCUAUGGGAAGAUAAUGACGGUACCAUAGGAGGAAGCCCCGGCUAACUACGUGCCAGCAGCCGCGGUAAUACGUAGGGGGCGAGCGUUGCCCGGAAUUACUGGGCGUAAAGGGUUCGCAGGCGGCAUGACAAGUCCGAUGUAAAAGGCGAAAGCUCAACUUUCGUAAGCAUCGGAAACUGUCAAGCUUGAGUGAAGGAGAGGCAAGUGGAAUUCCUAGUGUAGCGGUGGAAUGCGUAGAUAUUAGGAGGAAUACCGGUGGCGAAGGCGACUUGCUGGACUUCAACUGACGCUGAGGAACGAAAGCGUGGGUAGCAAACAGG
rnacentral:rRNA from 1 species